GUACGUAACCGCAAGGAGCGUCCUAGGGUAAAACUGGUGACUGGGGCUAAGUCGUAACAAGGUAGCCGUACCGGAAGGUGCGGCUGGAACACCUCCUUUCUGGAGC
rnacentral:rRNA from 1 species